UUUCCGUAGGUGAACCUGCGGAAGGAUCAUUAGUGAAUAAACAAGUGCAGGUUGUGCUGGCCUUCUUGGUAUGUGCACGCCUGCCAACGUUUCAUUCUAUCUUCCCACCUGUGCACUAUGUGUAGAUUCUGUAUGCUAUUGUCAGGCCUUUAUUGAGCUUGGUUGAGAGGAGUUGCUUGUUUUCGCAGACAAGCUCUCCUUGGGCAUGCAGGGUCUAUGUUUAUAUCAACACCAUAUGAAUGUUAUAGAAUGUGCUUUGGGCUUUUUGGCCUUUAAAUUAUAUACAACUUUCAACAACGGAUCUCUUGGCUCUC
rnacentral:misc_RNA from 1 species